rnacentral:rRNA from 1 species
UGGGGAAUAUUGCGCAAUGGGCGAAAGCCUGACGCAGCAACGCCGCGUGAGGGAUGAAGGCCUUCGGGUUGUAAACCUCUUUCAGCAGGGAAGAAGCGAAAGUGACGGUACCUGCAGAAGAAGCACCGGCUAACUACGUGCCAGCAGCCGCGGUAAUACGUAGGGUGCAAGCGUUGUCCGGAUUUAUUGGGCGUAAAGAGCUCGUAGGCGGUUAGUCACGUCGGAUGUGAAAAUCCAAGGCUUAACCUUGGACCUGCAUUCGAUACGGGCUGACUAGAGUGUUGUAGGGGAGACUGGAACUCCUGGUGUAGCGGUGAAAUGCGCAGAUAUCAGGAAGAACACCGAUGGCGAAGGCAGGUCUCUGGGCAACUACUGACGCUGAGGAGCGAAAGCGUGGGGA